rnacentral:rRNA from 1 species
GAUGAACGCUGGCGGCGUGCCUAAUACAUGCAAGUCGAGCGAACAGACGAGGAGCUUGCUCCUCUGACGUUAGCGGCGGACGGGUGAGUAACACGUGGAUAACCUACCUAUAAGACUGGGAUAACUUCGGGAAACCGGAGCUAAUACCGGAUAAUAUAUUGAACCGCAUGAUUCAAUAGUGAAAGACGGUUUUGCUGUAACUUAUAGAUGGAUCCGCGCCGCAUUAGCUAGUUGGUAAGGUAACGGCUUACCAAGGCAACGAUGCGUAGCCGACCUGAGAGGGUGAUCGGCCACACUGGAACUGAGACACGGUCCAGACUCCUACGGGAGGCAGCAGUAGGGAAUCUUCCGCAAUGGGCGAAAGCUUGACGGAGCAACGCCGCGUGAGUGAUGAAGGUCUUCGGAUCGUAAAACUCUGUUAUUAGGGAAGAACAAAUGUGUAAGUAACUAUGCACGUCUUGACGGUACCUAAUCAGAAAGCCACGGCUAACUACGUG